rnacentral:rRNA from 1 species
AUUGAACGCUGGCGGCAUGCCUUACACAUGCAAGUCGAACGGUAACAGGUCUUCGGAUGCUGACGAGUGGCGAACGGGGGAGUAAUACAUCGGAACGUGCCCGAUCGUGGGGGAUAACGGAGCGAAAGCUUUGCUAAUACCGCAUACGAUCUACGGAUGAAAGCAGGGGAACGCAAGGCCUUGCGCGGACGGAGCGGCCGAUGGCAGAUUAGGUAGUUGGUGGGAUAAAAGCUUACCAAGCCGACGAUCUGUAGCUGGUCUGAGAGGACGACCAGCCACACUGGGACUGAGACACGGCCCAGACUCCUACGGGAGGCAGCAGUGGGGAAUUUUGGACAAUGGGCGAAAGCCUGAUCCAGCCAUGCCGCGUGCAGGAUGAAGGCCUUCGGGUUGUAAACUGCUUUUGUACGGAACGAAAAGACUCUUUCUAAUAAAGAGGGUCCAUGACGGUACCGUAAGAAUAAGCACCGGCUAACUACGUG